UACGGAGGGUGCAAGCGUUAUCCGGAUUCACUGGGUUUAAAGGGUGCGUAGGUGGGUCUGUAAGUCCGUGGUGAAAUCCCCAAGCUUAAUUUGGAAACUGCCAUGGAUACUAUAGGUCUUGAAUACCGUGGAGGUGAGCGGAAUAUGUCAUGUAGCGGUGAAAUGCUUAGAUAUGACAUAGAACACCAAUUGCGAAGGCAGCUCACUACACGAAUAUUGACACUGAGGCACGAAAGCGUGGGGAUCAAACAGG
rnacentral:rRNA from 1 species